CAGCUCUUCGGGGGCAAAACUGAAAAUUGGCUUAUUCCGUCCCCGCCUCCGCGGUGUCUGGUUUCCUUCUCCCUUCUCCCCCUCUCCGCCGACACCAGAGCUCGUUUCUCCUCAUGGUCGGUAACCUCGCCGGCUGCGACGCUAGCCAUCAAACCAGGAUCCUUCGACACGAAGCUUCGCUAUUCGCACCCUGCUCUUCCCCGCCCUUUACUGCUGGUAUUCUGUGGGGUGGAGGUCCGACCGCGAUCGGAUCGAUUGUUUGGGCGGUGGGGUUCAACGGAUUGAACCCCCAUGGCCGACGUCGAGUCCGCUCCUGGCGCGGGCGCGAAGGCUCCGCCUUACAAGGAAACCGACCGGUUCCUACUCGAGUUGGAGUUCGUGCAGUGCCUCGCUAACCCUACCUACAUUCACUAUCUAGCACAGAAUAGAUAUUUUGAGGAUGAGGCAUUCAUCGGAUACCUUAAGUACCUAAAAUAUUGGCAGCGCCCGGAGUAUAUCAUGUACAUAAUUUAUCCACACUGCCUUUUCUUUCUUGAGCUCCUCCAAAACGCCAAUUUCCGUAAUGCCAUGGCACAUCCAGCAAACAAGGAGCUUGCUCACAGGCAGCAAUAUUUCUUCUGGAAAAACUACAGGAAUAAUAGACUGAAGCACAUCCUACCACGCCCUCCACCCGAGCCAGCUCUGGCGCUUGCACCUUCACAAGGACCUGCAACGAUGCCCCUACCACCAUCAGUACCGACACCUGUGGCCCCACCUGUUCCUGCACCGGCAUCAUCUAUGCCACCUGUGGCAGCAGGUGGUGCAUCUGCAAUGUCUCCUAUGCAGUUUGUAGGAACUCCAGGCACCAAUAUGCCGAAGACUGACAUGAGAAAUGCUAUGGGCAACAGAAAGAGGAAGAGAGAUCUAUCCUCUUUCACCAUAGAAGUUGUCAUUUGAAGAUUGGGCGGAGCAAUCUUUUUAUUAUUUCUAUUUUUAAUCUGUUGCCUAUUUUGCAAAUAAAUUUAUUUGAAAUUUUGUUGGCACAUGCAAUUGUUACAACAGCUUGUUUGGUAGUCAAUUGGAAUAUCUAAUUUGGAAAGGUGCCAUUCUUAACUUCGCAUUGAGCUGAUGGGCUAGUUGAACAUGUUGGGCAGUUCAAUAGUCGACAAAUGGGAUGCAAGCCAGAAGUCGCUGCCUAUGGAGCCUUUUCAAUGUUCGGUAGGCCUUGUAGUUGAGAAGUCAUGUUUGAUACUGCUCUGUGGGAGCUGCAGAUGUAACUUUAGAUGUCAAUAUGCUCCUGAAUGACUAAUCAUUUGUGUUGGCGUUGUUCAGAAUUUUGUCACGGAUUAAACACCAGCAACUGGAAAUGUACAUUCAGCGCUUAUUCAUGAUCCUGAAUGAGUAAUCAUUUAUGUUGGAGUUGUUCUA